UCUUUUGUCCACCUUGGUAUUGCCCUCUCCUCUGCCCCAAUUUAUCCUAAACCACCCAAUUUGCCCCUCUUGUUAUAUCUUCCCUUCCUUGCAUCAUCUCAGCCCCUUUCUUUCCUCCGAGCUUCUCUCUUGUUGAAUUAGUAGGUCAAAUCCUCACCUUGCAUAGGAAAUCAUGGGGUUUAUCAUUGUGUUGGAGCUCGUCUACGCCAAAUUCAGGAAAGCUCCCCUGCAUCCCAGAUCUGCCUAUUCUUCCUCUUGUUGUCGUCGCUCAUAGAUCAGUUUGAGCAUGACGGCAACAGGUAGGGUUGGAUUGCCGAUGCCUGAGUCACCACUACCAGGUGCUAAUUCAAUCGCUUCGGAUGCCUUUAAGGGCAACAAAGAAUGAUGUUCAUGAGUUCUUAUCUAAUACUGGCAAGGUAAGAAUGGUGAUGGUGAUAUUAUGCUAUGAAAAAUUUUAGGAGCUGCUUGUAUGUGAAAGAAUCUCUGCUAUAGAUAUGUAGAGGAGAGGCAGAUCAAAGGAAAGCACAAAUAACAAAGGUCAUGACAUUUAUUGAUUCAUUGAAAUUAGGUCUCACUUUUUGUUUUGAAUUAUUCUAAGUUUCUUACAUAUAUAAAGUUCAAAGUUUAUUUCUUCUUGUUGCUUUGUUUCACUAUAUUUCUUUUCCGCCUUUGUAUACUUUUUUUUUGUUUGCAUGCAGUGCACAGAUCUUUAAUGAUUGAGCUCAUAUUCAUUAGUGUAUGAUUCCAGCCUUCCAAGAGACAUUGAAAGUCUUCACUUACAAUGUUUAGCUCUAGCUAGUGAAGUUGCAUAGGAAGUUGAAAGCUACUAACAGCGUAGCCAAUCCUUUGAUCGAGCACACAAUGAAGUGUUAAUUCUAAGUAUUUGAACUUAUAUUAUCUUUUGUAUAUUUUGUUAUUUUGUGUUGUUGAAUUCUUUUGCUCUAUUCUAUAUGUAUGGAUGUUGAAUUUAUUUCAUUAUGUAAAAGAAAAUAUCUUU